rnacentral:rRNA from 1 species
UAGGGAAUCUUCCGCAAUGGACGCAAGUCUGACGGAGCAACGCCGCGUGAGUGAAGAAGGAUUUCGGUUCGUAAAACUCUGUUGUUAGAGAAGAACAGCGCAUAGAGUAACUGUUAUGCGUGUGACGGUAUCUAACCAGAAAGCCACGGCUAACUACGUGCCAGCAGCCGCGGUAAUACGUAGGUGGCAAGCGUUGUCCGGAUUUAUUGGGCGUAAAGCGAGCGCAGGCGGUCAAUUAAGUCUGAUGUGAAAGCCCCCGGCUCAACCGGGGAGGGUCAUUGGAAACUGGUUGACUUGAGUGCAGCAGAGGAGAGUGGAAUUCCAUGUGUAGCGGUCAAAUGCGUAGAUAUAUGGAGGAACACCAGUGGCGAAGGCGACUCUCUGGUCUGUAACUGACGCUGAGGCUCGAAAGCGUGGGUAGCAAACAGG